GUCCACGCCGUAAACGUUGGGCGCUAGGUGUGGGGUUCCUUCCACGAACUCCGUGCCGCAGCUAACGCAUUAAGCGCCCCGCCUGGGGGAGUACGGCCGCAAGGCUAAAACUCAAAGGAAUUGACGGGGGCCCGCACAAGCGGCGGAGCAUGCGGAUUAAUUCGAUGCAACGCGAAGAACCUUACCAAGGCUUGACAUGCACGGGAAAGUUCCAGAGAUGGUUCCCCCGCAAGGUCCGUGCACAGGUGGUGCAUGGUUGGUUCGU
rnacentral:rRNA from 1 species